UGGGGAAUCUUGGACAAUGGGGGCAACCCUGAUCCAGCGAUGCCGCGUGGGUGAAGAAGGCCUUCGGGUUGUAAAGCCCUUUAGGCUGGGAAGAAGAGUGUGGGAUGAAUAGUCCUGUACUUUGACGGUACCAGCAGAAUAAGCACCGGCAAACUCUGUGCCAGCAGCCGCGGUAAUACAGAGGGUGCAAGCGUUAAUCGGAUUUACUGGGCGUAAAGGGCGCGUAGGCGGUUUAGUGAGUGUGAUGUGAAAGCCCCGGGCUCAACCUGGGAAGUGCAUCGCAAACGACUAAACUGGAGUAGGUGAGAGGGUGGCGGAAUUUCCGGUGUAGCGGUGAAAUGCGUAGAGAUCGGAAGGAACGUCAAUGGCGAAGGCAGCCACCUGGUACCAUACUGACGCU
rnacentral:rRNA from 1 species